rnacentral:tmRNA from 1 species
GGGGACGUUACGGAUUCGACAGGGAUAGUUCGAGCUUAGGUUGCGAGUCGAGGAGAUGGCCUCGUUAAAACAUCAACGCCAAUAAUAACUGGCAAAUCUAACAAUAACUUCGCUUUAGGCCGCAUAAUAGUAGCUUAGCGGUUCCUCCCUCCAUCGCCCAUGUGGUAGGGUAAGGGACUCACUUUAAGUGGGCUACGCCGGAGUUCGCCGUCUGAGGACGAAGGAAGAGAAUAAUCAGACUAGCGACUGGGACGCCUGUUGGUAGGCAGAACAGCUCGCGAAUGAUCAAUAUGCCAACUACACUCGUAGACGCUUAAGUGGCGAUAUUUCUGGACGUGGGUUCGACUCCCACCGUCUCCACCA